rnacentral:lncRNA from 1 species
AUAAAUUUCAGUGUGAAAUUUAGAGAACCAUACAAUCUAAAUUUAGAGCAGGGCUCCACGUGUUUGUCAGACAACUCUGAGGAAGAUGACAGCGUCUGUGCUAAAAAGGGUCAAUCAUCAAAACGCUGGAACAGGAAGUUGCAGACCCAUAGCUUGCUUUCACCCUCUCUACCACAAGUUCAAGCAAGAAGGAGCUCCCCAGAUGAUGUUGUUGUGUUGGAUUCUGAUUCAGACGACAGCUCUUCUGAAUCUGUCCCUCCUUUUGUGGAGGAUCUGGAUUCGGACUCAGAUGGGCUGGAGAACUGGAUGAUUCUGGGCCAAGACAAACAGGAUGGAGAUCAGACCAUCCAGCUCAACCUCUCCUUAGCAGAUGAAGCUCGCGAUUGGGUCAGUUGGCCAAUCAGAGCAGACUGCGCUUGUCAGAAGGAGGGACUUUGUAGAAAACGACACGUUUGAGAAAGGCGGGGCAUAGAGGACCUACAAUAAUGUACAGUAUUUGAAAAAUAAUGUGUUUUUUGAACGUUAAAGCAUGUCAACAUAUUCUGUUACACCAAAUACACAAAAUAAUUAUCUUUAAAAAAAGCAUCAUAUGGCCGCUUUAAAGAAAUAGUUCUGUCAUCAUUUACUCAUCCUCAUGUCAUUCCAAACCUGUAUGAUUUUCUUUAUGUGUUUCUUUUGUGGAACUUACAAUAUUAUGAAAAAGGUUUGAGCUUUUACUUGAGGAAGUACUAAUGAUCUUCAAAAUGUUUUCUUUUGUAUUCCACACAAGAAAGAAUGUCAUACAGCCGAACGACAUGAGGGUGAGUAAUUGAUAACAGAAUUUUCAUUUUUUGGGGACCUCCCUUUAUAAGGCAUCUUAUAAAUAUAAAUAUAAAUAUAAAUAUAAAUAUAAAUAUAAAUAUAAAUAGUUCACCAAAAAAUAAGAUUCUGUUAUUUACACCCCCACAUGUGCUUCUGUAGGACUUGAGUUCCAUGUAACACAAAAGUAUUUUGUAGAAUGUUAGUGCUUGUGUUUUCUACACAGUGAAUCUAUUAAUAGGGGCUGUCAAGAUUCAAAAUGUACAUAAAAUUAACCCUUGUGACUGGUACACUAUAUACCAUGCCUUCAACCUAGGUUUGAAAAUAAGAGGCCUUACAUUUUAGUAUAGGGACCAAUUCUCACUAUUAACAAGUUGCUUUUUAGCAUGCCUAUUAUUAACAUAUUGGCUGUUUAUCAUUACUCAUAAAGUCAUAUUCUGCAUGAUCAUAUUCUACAUUUCUGAUCCUACCCAAUACCUAAACUUAACAACUACUUUACUAACUAUUAAUAAGCAGCAAAUCAAGCCAAAGUCGUAGUUAAUAGUUUGUUAAUAGCGAGAAUUGGACCUUAAAAUAAAGUGUGAAUGCAACAAAUAUAAGAAUGCAAAUGUCAUUUGAGAGCACAAUGUCUCUCAAUAUAUAUAUAUAUAUAUAUAUAUAUAUAUAUAUAGUUGUUUACCUGUAAGAAAAUGUAUUUUUUUUUAUGGUGUUAGUUUGUUAGUCAGUGUUUGUUAUGGGGGCGGCCUAAAGGGUUUGCAGGCCAGAGCACCUGUGGUCUCCAUUCGUGUUAAUGUAAGCACAAAUUUGUGUUUAUCCCCCAAUGCACUCGGCUGUAUGUGCAUCCUGAUCACUGAAUCUGAUGUCUCAUCCUCAUGUAUUUGUUGUAAAGUUACUGUGCCGAUCGAAACGACUAGGUGUGUGCGUGAACACAUGCAUCCGACUUCACGUGAGUAAAGUUAAUUUGCAUGCGCGU